UAGGGAAUCUUCGGCAAUGGACGAAAGUCUGACCGAGCAACGCCGCGUGAGUGAAGAAGGUUUUCGGAUCGUAAAACUCUGUUGUUAGAGAAGAACAAGGACGUUAGUAACUGAACGUCCACUGACGGUAUCUAACCAGAAAGCCACGGCUAACUACGUGCCAGCAGCCGCGGUAAUACGUAGGUGGCAAGCGUUGUCCGGAUUUAUUGGGCGUAAAGCGAGCGCAGGCGGUUUCUUAAGUCUGAUGUGAAAGCCCCCGGCUCAACCGGGGAGGGUCAUUGGAAACUGGGAGACUUGAGUGCAGAAGAGGAGAGUGGAAUUCCAUGUGUAGCGGUGAAAUGCGUAGAUAUAUGGAGGAACACCAGUGGCGAAGGCGGCUCUCUGGUCCGUAACUGACGCUGAGGCUCGAAAGCGUGGGGAGCAAACAGG
rnacentral:rRNA from 1 species